rnacentral:rRNA from 1 species
AAUGGGCGAGAGCCUGACGCAGCAACGCCGCGUGCGGGAUGAAGGCCUUCGGGUUGUAAACCGCUUUCAGCAGGGAAGAAGCGAAAGUGACGGUACCUGCAGAAGAAGCACCGGCUAACUACGUGCCAGCAGCCGCGGUAAUACGUAGGGUGCAAGCGUUGUCCGGAUUUAUUGGGCGUAAAGAGCUCGUAGGCGGUUAGUCACGUCGGAUGUGAAAACCCAGUGCUUAACACUGGGCCUGCAUUCGAUACGGGCUGACUAGAGUGUUGUAGGGGAGACUGGAACUCCUGGUGUAGCGGUGAAAUGCGCAGAUAUCAGGAAGAACACCGGUGGCGAAGGCGGGUCUCUGGGCAACUACUGACGCUGAGGAGCGAAAGCGUGGGGAGCAAACAGGAUU